UACGUAGGUGGCAAGCGUUGUCCGGAAUUAUUGGGCGUAAAGCGCGCGCAGGCGGUCCUUUAAGUCUGAUGUGAAAGCCCACGGCUCAACCGUGGAGGGUCAUUGGAAACUGGGGGACUUGAGUACAGAAGAGGAAAGCGGAAUUCCACGUGUAGCGGUGAAAUGCGUAGAGAUGUGGAGGAACACCAGUGGCGAAGGCGACACGCUGGGCCAUACCUGACGCUAAAGCGCGACAGCAUGGGGAGCAAACGGG
rnacentral:rRNA from 1 species